UGGGGAAUAUUGGACAAUGGGCGCAAGCCUGAUCCAGCCAUGCCGCGUGAGUGAUGAAGGCCUUAGGGUUGUAAAGCUCUUUUGUCCGGGACGAUAAUGACGGUACCGGAAGAAUAAGCCCCGGCUAACUUCGUGCCAGCAGCCGCGGUAAUACGAAGGGGGCUAGCGUUGCUCGGAACCACUGGGCGUAAAGGGCGCGUAGGCGGCCGUUUAAGUCGGGGGUGAAAGCCUGUGGCUCAACCACAGAAUUGCCUUCGAUACUGGACGGCUUGAGUAUGGUAGAGGUUGGUGGAACUGCGAGUGUAGAGGUGAAAUUCGUAGAUAUUCGCAAGAACACCGGUGGCGAAGGCGGCCAACUGGACCAUUACUGACGCUGAGGCGCGAAAGCGUGGGGAGCAAACAGG
rnacentral:rRNA from 1 species